rnacentral:rRNA from 1 species
AUGAGGCCACCGGACAUGUAUGACCAUGGCGGCAGCUCCUCAUCCGGGCCGCGCGCCAAGGAGGAGAUGCAGCCAGAGGUGGUUCUCUACACGGCGUCGGCGUCGCGCCGCAGGGGUCGCACCUCCACCAACCUCUACGCCCUGCGCGCCCUGCUGCGGGGCUACGGCCUGACCAUGUACGAGCGCGACGUGUCCAGGAGCAAAGCGCAUCGCUGCGAGCUCAAGUCGUUGCUUGCGGCUCGGGGCUGCGCCUUCUCCCUCCCGCAGCUCCUCGUCGGUGGCCGGCUCGUUGGCUGCCCUGACGAUGUUAGGAAGCUGCACCGGGCUGGCGGGCUGCGGCCUCUCCUCGACGGCGCCCCAAGGCCGUACGCCGCCUUCGUCUGCCAAGCCUGUAAGAGGGUUGGCUCCGAGCCCUGCCCACAGUGCAGCGAGUCCCGCAACAACAAGAUGCUGGAUCAUGGCAUUAUUGCCGACGAGCAGGACACAGUUGUCCUUUUUUAUCCAACCCAAGGUGAGAUCCGUAGGUUGACUUGGCUGUAUGUUCAGAACUGCAAGGCAACCACUCUGAUACAUCAGAUGAGGCACACAAUCCAUCGGGAUUUUCUGUUGAAAAAUAUAGUAGUAACUUCGUAG